rnacentral:rRNA from 1 species
AUGACGAGGUCUCUAGAGCCGGCAGCCGAGCAGAAGGCCUCGUCGUCCUUCGGCAACCUGCUCUCCAUCUUCCUCCGGGUCAGCUCGUCCGAGCCCAAGCCGCCGAGGCGGAGCUUCGACGCCGAGGGCGUUGUCGGGCUCGGCAUCGUCGCGGCCAUGAGCCGCGCGUGCCUCACCGCCCAGCCGAUAGCGAUCGGCGCUGCCGCACGCCGCCGCGCGCGCGAGGAGGACGAACUCUCCGAGAGCUACACGUGCGUCAUCACGCACGUGGCCGCCGGCGCCGGCGAGGGCGGCAGCAUGCGCAAGCGCGUCUACUUCGGGUUCGGCGACGGCGGGGACAGCUGGUUCGUGGAGGCCGCUGAGGAGGCGCCGGCGAGGGCGGACGACUUCUUGAGCCGCUGCUGCCUCUGCAACAAGAGGCUUGAUGGGCUCGACAUCUACAUGUAUAGGGGGGAGAAAGCCUUCUGCAGCUCCGAGUGCCGAUGCCACCAGAUGCUCAUGGACGACCACGCAGAAAAAUGUGGAUCAGAAGCCCUCAGAGCCAGCAGCUACUCGGCCUCCCCGUGCUCCGCGCCGAUGUCCUUCUCCCCCAGCGUCGCCGCGGCCUAG